GCUUCGGGCCAGGCGGGCCACCCCGGGCCACACCCCCACCUUGCAGGCGCCUGGCGGGGCUCGAGCCAGGCGGGGCGCCGCACAAAGACAUGCGGAGAGGGGCUGCGCGGGGCCGUGGCACAAAGACACCCGGGUGUUCGGCCGAACUGGCUGCAGUGAUCGCCCCCUCGCCGAGCCCCGGGGCAGAGCGGAGCUGCCGGCCCAGCGCACCGAGUCACGGGCCGAGCGCACCCAGGGCCCGCGCGGGACCCCAGGCGGCCACACAGUCGGGGUGACCCAACGCGCGAGGGGGCGUCGUCGUCGGAGCCCAACUUGGCCUCGGCCUCGCCCUCUGCCCAGCCUGCCGCCGCUGGUGUCCCCUCCUUCCCGCGAUUUCAUUUCUUCUCACGCUCCCCCCCCCAUACCCCUCCCGCCUCCAGCCCGGCUCUCCCCACCUUGUAAAACAAAGCCGGGGAAAAUGCCUGCCCGUGCAGCUCGGAGCGCGCAGCCGGUCUUGGAAUAAGGAGUGAGUACAAUGGCGUGUUGGUAAAAAAAAAAAAAAAAAGAAAGAAAAGAAAAAAAAAGCAAAGAAAGAAAGAAAGAAAAGAGAAAAGAAAAGAAAAGAGAGAG
rnacentral:lncRNA from 1 species